GAUGAAGAACGUAGCGAAAUGCGAUAAGUAAUGUGAAUUGCAGAAUCCAGUGAAUCAUCGAAUCUUUGAACGCACAUUGCGCCCGCCAGCAUUCUGGCGGGCAUGCCUGUUCGAGCGUCAUUUCAACCCUCGAACCCCUCCGGGGGGUCGGCGUUGGGGACCUCGGGAGCCCCUAAGACGGGAUCCCGGCCCCGAAAUACAGUGGCGGUCUCGCCGCAGCCUCUCCUGCGCAGUAGUUUGCACAACUCGCACCGGGAGCGCGGCGCGUCCACGUCCGUAAAACACCCAACUUCUGAAAUGUUGACCUCGGAUCAGGUAGGAAUACCCGCUGAACUUAAGCAUAUCAAUAAGCGGAGGA
rnacentral:misc_RNA from 1 species